rnacentral:rRNA from 1 species
UAGGGAAUCUUCCGCAAUGGGCGAAAGCUUGACGGAGCAACGCCGCGUGAGUGAUGAAGGUCUUCGGAUCGUAAAACUCUGUUAUUAGGGAAGAACAAAUGUGUAAGUAACUAUGCACGUCUUGACGGUACCUAAUCAGAAAGCCACGGCUAACUACGUGCCAGCAGCCGCGGUAAUACGUAGGUGGCAAGCGUUAUCCGGAAUUAUUGGGCGUAAAGCGCGCGUAGGCGGUUUUUUAAGUCUGAUGUGAAAGCCCACGGCUCAACCGUGGAGGGUCAAUGGAAACUGGAAAACUUGAGUGCAGAAGAGGAAAGUGGAAUUCCAUGUGUAGCGGUGAAAUGCGCAGAGAUAUGGAGGAACACCAGCGGCGAAGGCGACUUUCUGGUCUGAAACUGACGCUGAUGUGCGAAAGCGUGGGGAUCAAACAGG